AGUGAACGCUGGCGGCGUGCCUAACACAUGCAAGUCGAGCGCGAAAGGGUAGCAAUACCUGAGUAAAGCGGCGAACGGGUGAGUAACACGUGGUUAACCUACCGAAAUGUGGGGGAUACCCCGGAGAAAUUCGGGACAAUACCGCAUACAGUCUUCUGGACGUCGGUUCGGAAGAGCAAAGCCGGGGAUCGUAAGACCUGGCGCAUUUCGAGGGGACCGCGGCCGAUUAGCUAGUUGGCGGGGUAAUGGCCCACCAAGGCUUCGAUCGGUAGCCGGCCUGAGAGGGUGAACGGCCACACCGGAACUGAGACACGGUCCGGACUCCUACGGGAGGCAGCAGUGGGGAAUUUUGCGCAAUGGGCGAAAGCCUGACGCAGCAACGCCGCGUGGAGGAUGAAGGUUCUCUGAAUCGUAAACUCCUGUCGGCCGGGAAGAACUGGCAGAGUGCUAAUCAGCUCUGUCUUGACUGUACCGGCAAAGGAAGCCCCGGCUAACUCCGUGCCAGCAGCCGCUGUAAC
rnacentral:rRNA from 1 species